CCUACGGGAGGCAGCAGUAAGGAAUAUUGGUCAAUGGGCGCAAGCCUGAACCAGCCAUGCCGCGUGCAGGAAGACGGCCCUACGGGUUGUAAACUGCUUUUGUACCGGAAUAAACCUUUUCACGUGUGAGAAGCUGAAUGUACGGUAAGAAUAAGGAUCGGCUAACUCCGUGCCAGCAGCCGCGGUAAUACGGAGGAUCCAAGCGUUAUCCGGAUUUAUUGGGUUUAAAGGGUGCGUAGGCGGUUCUUUAAGUCAGGGGUGAAAGACGGUAGCUUAACUAUCGCAGUGCCUUUGAUACUGAAGAACUUGAAUACACUUGAGGUAGGCGGAAUGUGACAAGUAGCGGUGAAAUGCAUAGAUAUGUCACAGAACACCAAUUGCGAAGGCAGCUUACUAAAGUGUCAUUGACGCUGAGGCACGAAAGCGUGGGGAUCAAACAGGAUUAGAUACCCUGGUAGUCCACGCCCUAAACGAUGAAUACUCGAUGUUGGCGAUAUACGGUCAGCGUCUAAGCGAAAAGCAUUAAGUAUUCCACCUGGGGAGUACGCCCGCAAGGGUGAAGCUUAAAUGAAUUGACGG
rnacentral:rRNA from 1 species